AUGGAGGAUGCAGGGCAAGUGCCGUGGCUGGGCAUAAAAGGGGUGUCCUGGGCCAAAGCACGGCCAGAGCUGUGCAACGUGGCCAGAGAAGCUGGGGUGAGGAGAUCCCAUGUGCAGGUGGAGAUUGCCUUCCCUGUUGGGGCUUGCUGCCCUUCGCCUGCCCAGGUCUGGGGUUUUGGAGGAGCUGCUGUUCGGCACUGUCACGGCUCUGUUUCCCGGGAGGCUGCUAUUGCCCAAAGGCCGGGGCUGCUGCUCGCUCUGUCUGUCCCCACCGCUGCCCUUCCCGUGUCGCUUGGAGUUUCUCUGCUGCUCUUCUGGGUUUGCUCUGCCCGGCUGCAAGGGGAGAGCUCUGCCGUGGGCCCGUCCUGGGUGCAAAGUGCCCGACUCAUUGAGGAGUGCAUGCACGUCUCGCAUUUGAAGCUGGACCAGGCAAGGCUCAGCCUCUUCCCCGAAGAAGUGUUCGCCUGUGACAGCAGCACGUGUAAAGGGGGAGGAGAGGAGGUGGAGAGGACAGUGCUGAAGCGGUGCUGGCAGACGGGGCUGGCUGACGUCCGAACGUCCCCCCGGUGCUGCUGGGGGCAUGGCAGGGCGGCCGGUCGGCAACGUGCAGGGACAGGCAGCAGAGCACUUCGGCCGCCUCGUCCCCCGCAGCGCCUGUUCGUCGGCCGUGUUCGGGGCAAGCGCCAGGUGAGCGCGCUCCCCACCGCUGCAGGCACCUCGGGGCACCAGCAGGCUGAACUUCGGUUUCCUGUGUUUGAACCAACAAGUUCCCUUAUUUGUUUGGUGGGUGGUUGGGGAGGAAAGGGGAAGGGGGAGCUCCUGGUGGGCUCCCGGGGAUCUUCCCAUUUGCUUUUUUUUUUUUUCUUUUUUUUCCCCCCUCUCUCCCUGAUGUUUCCAGGAGGGCUCGGCAGCCAAGUGAAUCCUCCUUGGCUGAGAUGCAGCUGCGGCUUCAACAGCCGUGCUGGCUCCUCAGCCAUCAAGCCGCAUAUUUUAAAUGUGAUCAUUUCUACUUGGCUGGAUCUCUAUCCUAUCUACACUCAAGAAAUGCAAUGA
rnacentral:lncRNA from 1 species